rnacentral:rRNA from 1 species
CCUACGGGAGGCAGCAGUGGGGAAUAUUGCACAAUGGGGGAAACCCUGAUGCAGCGACGCCGCGUGAGUGAAGAAGUAUCUCGGUACGUAAAGCUCUAUCAGCAGGGAAGAUAAUGACGGUACCUGACCAAGAAGCCCCGGCUAACUACGUGCCAGCAGCCGCGGUAAUACGUAGGGGGCAAGAGUUAUCCGGAUUUACUGGGUGUAAGGGGAGCGUAGGCGGCAGCAAAGGGCGGGAGUGAAAUCCCGGGGCUUAAGCCCGGAACUGCUUUGGAAACUGUGCGGCUGGAGUGCAGGAGGGGUGAGCGGAAUGUCUAGUGUAGCGGUGAAAUGCGUAGAUAUUAGGAGGAACACCGGUGGCGAAGGCGGCUUACUGGACUGUAACUGACGUUGAGGCUCGAAAGCGUGGGGAGCAAACAGGAUUAGAUACCCGAGUAGUC